GCUGCACGCUUGACUUUUCUCAGUUCAUGGGCAGUUAUUUUGCGCCUUGGUUUUUCCACACGCUUCUUGCGACCCUGUUGACUAUUUUGAAUGAAACGCUUGAUUGUUCGAUGAUCACGCUUCAGAAGCUUUGCAAUUUUGAGACUGCUGCAUCCCUCUGCAAGAUAUCUCACUAUUUUUGACUUUUCUGAGCCUGUCAAGUCCUUCUUUUGACCCAUUUUGCCAAAGGAAAGGACGUUGCCUAAUAAUUAUGCACACCUGAUAUAGGGUGUUGAUGUCAUUAGACCACACCCCUUCUCAUUACAGAGAUGCACAUCACCUAAUAUGCUUAAUUGGUAGUAGGCUUUCGAGCCUAUACAGCUUGGAGUAAGACAACAUGCAUGAAGAGGAUGAUGUGGGCAAAAUACUCAUUUGCCUAAUAAUUCUGCACUCCCUGUAUAUAUAUAUAUACAUACACGUGUAUAUAUAUGUAUAUAUGUAUGUUAGCGUGGGCUGCAAUGCGUUAGCACGGUUAGCUCAUUAAUGCGUUAGUGCCAUGUAGCCCCACGCACGGGGCGAUCCGCGAUAACUCGCUAAGGCAGAUUUGCCGUGUUAAUGCGGUUAUGGCGUUAGCAUCAUUUUAACGAGAUUAACGCUGACAGCACAAGUUUUUACAAAAGUCUGCAAGGUCAGCAGACAUGGGGACAUUUGUGUGCGGACUGAAUUAUAGCACGUUCGCAUGAAGACAGGAAUUACAUCAAGGGUUUCUACUUCUGCUCCACUAGAGUAGCUUUGCAUGAAUCACAGUUCAAAUAUAUGUUUUAGCUCCUCCCCUUUUACAGCCAACCUACCUUUACAUCAACUGUGUGCCUCAGAUACCAGAGAUUUCACCUGUGUGUGUGUGUGUGUGUGUGUGUGUGUGUGUGUGUGUGUGUGUGUGUGUGUGUGUGUGUGUGUGUGUGUAGAUCAGCGUGCUCUGUCCAGAAGAGGCAGCAGCUCAGGAGCAGUCGGGACAGGUGACAGAGUGUCUGAAGAUCAAACUGGAAGACUGUAAGAUGCUUAUCACACAUUUGAUGUCCAUGUGUGACGACUGCAAGUGUCCAGAGUGAGGACAGAAUGAGGGACCCACUGCUGCACAUCAUCUGUGAGGCUUUGCAGCCCUGAUGAUCCACCAGGACAAACUCGGCAGUGUGUGAGGAAGAGGAGGAGGAAGAGCCAGCAGCAGCUGACAGAUGGAGAGAAUAGACAGACUGUUCCCUGUUUGUGAAGGACUGCUAGGAAAGUUUAACAGAACUGUCUGUGCUGAAUCAGUCUUAUUAGGUAAUGUUCACAUAAUGUGAUCAUCCCAGUGUUUCCAGUGUGGGAGAAAGUACUCAGAGUACUCAGGGCCUUCAAGUUACACACCAUGAAAGGCAGCAACAAGUUUAAUGUUCAGAAACCUAAAGUCUGUAUCAGCAGCAGAAUGGAGCUAAAAUAAAUGUUGGUGUCAGUUCUAUGAAGCUUUGAGGAUUUUGGAUCAGUAGCUGCUGUGUUUGUUGCAUCAUAUUGCUGUAACUGUUUAUAUGCUUUAUAUAUUCUGAGCUAAGUUGAUCUAUAGUGUUACAUCAUAUUCUAUAAGGAUGUUAUGUGUUUGUAGACUUUCUGCCCAGUUUGACCCAUUUAGCAGACGUCAGCCUGUUUAAGGCUCUGAUGUCUAUUCUGUGUGACUUACAGCAGUUAUGACAUGGUCUGAUUUUUCUCACCCAAUAAAGGAAUAUUUCAUA
ensembl:lncRNA